rnacentral:lncRNA from 1 species
GGUAAUUACCACGAAGAUCAUUGAGAUUUGCAAGGGAGAUGUAAAUACCAGAUUUAUCAGCUCAGUCAUCGCAUAUUUGGACCUGUAUUUAUAAAAGAUUGCAGUGAGACGUCCGAAAAGUUUCUUCUAACUAUAAGACAGUGCUUGAGCCUGAUGAAUGGUCAUAGUGAUUCUCUUAUAUCUAUAAAAGGCCUUUUUUCCUCUCACAGGCUCAGUAUGAUAGGGUUCUGCCAAGCGGAAUCCUUAGCUUCCCCUCCCGUCUUCACUGACGGGCAGAGAUCGUCGACGCGUAAAAUUGAAUUCCGCGCCUUUCAGAAGCCAAUGAGAGCACUUGCAGCAAAUAAGCCAAUCAAAUCCCUUCAUUUUUAAAAUCGAAUCACGCGCAUGCGCAGUGUCUGGUUUCCGUAACGUAAACAAACGACUGCCGCGCUUUUUGCAUUUGUUUUGUUCGGAUUCUCGUUUCUGGCGGUUGACCGUAAUCUGUACUUCCCCGAAGUGUUACUGAUAAGUGAUCGCAGUUUUAUAUAGUUCGUUGUUAUUUCUAAAUCAGAAGUCUUGCAAAUUUCACAGGGAUUACGUGCUGACGAUAACCAAGCUUUUCCCAAAUUUUUUUACUGCCGGUGAUCAGGUGAGCAUCUCCUCAGUAUUUCCCGUGAUCUAUCUUCACGUGGUUUGAACUCCCAUCGUCCACGAGACUUUUUGCAUAUUCUCUCCUUAUCGGAGCCUGCAGGAGUCGAUCGCUAAUUUAUUACUUCUUCCUCAGCAUCUCUCUCAUGAUCCCUAAAUGAUUAUGAUUUCACUAAUACAGAUCCUAUUUCAUCGCAGUCAGAAUUUCACUUCAUUUCUCAACUAACCUCGUGCUGCCUGCAAAAUUUUCAGACUCUCAGAUUUUCUCCACGGCAUCAAUUUGUGUGGCUUCACUACCAAAGUGAAUGGUGCACAUUUUAUUGCCUUUACCAGCAAGCCAUGUCAAUUUUAGAUUUAAAUCUCUCCACUGCAUGCCCCACCGGCCCUACCUCAAGUCCCGCAGCCAAUUCUUGUUUGAUAACCUAGCUCGUGAGAAUGCUGACCAAGUAAAUAAGUAGAUCGCUUUAUAGUGUCUACGUCAUUUGAUCCCUGAUGGUUCCACCCAGAAUGAAUGGUCUUUCUUGAAAUGUAUCACUUUGCCAUGCUUUUAAGGUUAGCAUAAUGGUCGUAUGUAUAUGGAACGAUGUAGCCAUUGAAUUAGCCUAUUGGAUCUGAUAAAUGUUCAACCGCCAGAGGAUGCCCAUCUUGAAGUCUUGGUUGUAACCUAAGGAAGAUCUGCUUAAGUGUUGAAGCCUUUCAAAUUGUGUAGCUGAUUAAUUACUUUUUGCCAAGAGAAAGAAUAUUGCCGACUUGUCCAAAUCGCUGUUUGAUUAAUAUUUUCAUAAUUUUUUGUAUCUUUAUCUUGUCAUAAUAUAUAAACUAUUUCUUAAUUCCUCUGUAUCUAUCACCUAUCAAAACACAUGCUGGUACAUUUAUCAAAACAUGUUAAUGUAACUUGCAUUUUAUUGAUUACAGAUACAUCUAAGAAAAAAUGGCCCAAGUUGAAGUUCCUGGUAAGUUUUUUUCUCAUUCAUUCCUCUAUCAAGUAGUGUUGCUGGUCCUGCUGAUAUUUUUGUACUAAGGGUGAAGUGUUGGGUCUGCAGGGAUCAAAACUCCCGUCUGUCAAAUUGUAAUGCUUGCAUGUUAUCACUGGAGUAAGUGCAUCCAA